UCUAGUUGCUAAAGGGUAAUUCAAAUUUUACAUAUCAGAACCAUAACUGAUUAAGUACUAGAUCUUUCAUAGAAGUUAUAUGUACCAGAUAUAAUAUUAGUUGAAUACAUAAGAACAACAAUAAAGACAUGGAAUGUCGUAAAAUAAAACGUACUUUGCUGGUCUUGUGUACAAUAUACUAAUUGCAAGAGUUUAAGAUAUAAAAAUAUGGGAUAAUACUAAUCAUACUGGUACUAUGGUUAGUAUUUU
rnacentral:ncRNA from 1 species